rnacentral:rRNA from 1 species
GACGAACGCUGGCGGCGUGCUUAACACAUGCAAGUCGAACGGAAAGGCCCUGCUUUUGUGGGGUUCUCGAGUGGCGAACGGGUGAGUAACACGUGUGUAACCUGCCCUUGACUUUGGGAUAACUUCAGGAAACUGGGGCUAAUACCGGAUAUGAGCUCCUGCUGCAUGGUGGGGGUUGGAAAGUUUCGGCGGUUGGGGAUGGACUCGCGGCUUAUCAGCUUGUUGGUGGGGUAGUGGCUUACCAAGGCUUUGACGGGUAGCCGGCCUGAGAGGGUGACCGGCGACAUUGGGACUAAGAGACGGAGCAGAAGCCAAAGGGAGGCAGCAGGGGGGAAUAUGGCACAAUGGGCGGAAGUGUGAGACAGCGACGCCGGGUGCGGGAAGACGGGCUUCGGGUUGAGAACAGCUGUCGACUGUGACGAAGCGGGAGUGACGGUAAUGGGUAAAGAAGCACCGGCUAACUACGUG